CAGGAAAGAAACAAAGCGAAGGAUGUCAGCAGUGUAGUUCACCUUGCCUACGAGCUUCCCCCUGCGGUUCAUACACAGGUUAACUCACCUGUAGAGGAUUACACAUGACCAGCAUCAUCUGGAUAUACCUGAGGAGCCAGAGAGAGAGAGCAAUCAAGGUCAGGUAGAGACUUCAAAACAAACAUGCAGCCCAGUGGACUGACGCUGAGCUAAACAUUGCCUCUCCAUGCAGCGCUGCAGUUGGCACAAGUCUACAUGAUGCUGGUCAACACCUGCUCAACAGAAGAGAGAAUGAAAGACUCCCCCACACUGCCUCAGCUAUGAAGAGAUAUGAGAGAGAAGAAGGAAGCGUCUCACCAGCUGACAGCUGCAAUGAAACAGACACACACAUGUACACGCUCUCUCCAUCAUGCCUGUCAACACACACUUAAUGUACACAUGUACUCAUAAGCUACCCUUAUAUCCAAUCAUAAUGCUUGACAAACCCACACAAUUAAAGGAAUGGAAGUUAAUGGAAUAGAUCACCCAAAACUUUGCCAUUUUUAUUGGUGGUAGAAACAAUUUUCACUCAAAAAUUAUUUGUAAAUUUCACAAAUAAUUACAAAGAAAGGGCAAGUAACGCAUUAAAUUAAAUGUGAAAU